rnacentral:lncRNA from 1 species
GCAAGCCUAGCGCCCUUUUCACUACACCACCCCGGCCUCUCCAGCUCACAACUGCCCCUAACAAACAAGAAAAGAGACCCCUAGUUCCACCAAGGGAAACUGGGAGGGGGAGGGGAAAAGGGGAGGGGAAAAGGAAAGAGACUAUCCAAUCGGGCAUGUGCGUCCCUCCCCAAGAACCACAACCCCAGGGCUUCUUCGAACAGUGCGUAGUAACGCACUUCCACCUCCAGACCCCACACUCGACCACGCGCCUUCAGCCCCCAACCCCAGGACCACGUGGAGACAGAUCCGCAUUUGCAACAAGCGGCGGCGGCGGCGACGGCGGCGGGAGGAGCCCGAGCAGGGAAGCUUAGCGAGGUCAUUCGCUCGCAGUCCGCGUUGCUCCCCCGCAACCCGGAGCUACGCACCCAAGCCGGCCCGCCGAACGCCAUCCCCCUACCCUUUACCACCUCUCAUUAGAGAAGGGGGAGGAUGAGUGAAUCUAGUUCAAAGUCCAGCCAGCCUCUGGCCUCCAAACAGGAGAAAGACGGGUCUGAGAAGAGAGGGCGGGGCCGACCCCGGAAACAACCCCCGAAGGAGCCCAGUGAGGCACCAACUCCCAAGAGACCUCGGGGCAGACCGAAGGGGAGUAAGAACAAGGGGGCUGCUAAAGGCCGGAAAACUACCACUGCACCAGGGAGGAAACCAAGAGGGAGACCCAAAAAACUGCCAAACCAGUCCCCCUCCCCUGGGGUGGGGGGUGGAAGAAGAGGAAACAGCAUCUGGCAGACCUCCAGGAGUGAGUAACAGGAAGCAACUUGUUUUGGAGUCUCUGCCUGGCAUGGGGGCCGCCCUGGGUCCGUGCGGUGUCCCCGAAUUCCCACCCUGUGAGUGUGCUCCAGAACUCACUUCCCUUUCCUCCACCAAGGUCAGCUCUCGGCCACCCCCUCAGCCAGCUCCUGCUCUCUAGUACUCUGGGGAUCUUGUUUAGACCCGGUAAGGAUUUUCUAGGCUGGCCAGGGUCCCCCGGAGAGACCAGGGAACAUAGGGUAGAGCUAUCCAGGUGGCUACUCACCUGGUCUAUUCCUGCUCUGCCAGGACUGCCCACCAGGGCAUGGGGUCCCCCUGCCCUCUGUCUCCUUUUGCGCUUGCUUUUCCUAGCAUUCUCUUUCCAAGGAGGAGACUCGCUCUGAGCUUAGGCCAGUUACUUCCUUUUCCCCCCUCCUCUUGAAUUCCCCUCCCCCACUGCAGUAGAGAGGAAAGAAUGCUUUGGGGGGUGGGGGAAAGACAGCCAGGCUGCUGUGGGAGCCAGCAGGGCUUGGGGAGGGGAGGAAGCAAGUGGAAGGAGCUCUGUUUUCCCUUUAAAUUCCUCCUCGUUUUAUGAAUGAAACCGGGCAGCAAGAGUGCUGAGUCACCCACACACUCAGCCCUGAGUCAUCCCAACCCUAGAGCACUUGGAUGCAG